rnacentral:rRNA from 1 species
GAUGAACGCUGGCGGCGUGCCUAAUACAUGCAAGUCGAGCGAACGGACGAGAAGCUUGCUUCUCUGAUGUUAGCGGCGGACGGGUGAGUAACACGUGGAUAACCUACCUAUAAGACUGGGAUAACUUCGGGAAACCGGAGCUAAUACCGGAUAAUAUUUUGAACCGCAUGGUUCAAAAGUGAAAGACGGUCUUGCUGUCACUUAUAGAUGGAUCCGCGCUGCAUUAGCUAGUUGGUAAGGUAACGGCUUACCAAGGCAACGAUGCAUAGCCGACCUGAGAGGGUGAUCCGCCACACUGGAACUGAGACACGGUCCAGACUCCUACGGGAGGCAGCAGUAGGGAAUCUUCCGCAAUGGGCGAAAGCCUGACGGAGCAACGCCGCGUGAGUGAUGAAGGUCUUCGGAUCGUAAAACUCUAUUAUUAGGGAAGAACAUAUGUGUAAGUAACUGUGCACAUCUUGACGGUACCUAAUCAGAAAGCCACGGCUAACUACGUG